rnacentral:rRNA from 1 species
AGUGAACGCUGGCGGCGUGCCUAAUACAUGCAAGUCGAACGGAGUGGCGCACGGGUGAGUAAUAUAUAGCGCAUCUGCCCCUUGCUGGAGGACAACAGUUAGCAAUGACUGCUAAUACUCCAUAGGAAGGGAUGAGACUAUAACGUAUCAGCUAGUCGGUGGGGUAACGGCCUACCGAGGCUAUGACGCCCAACUGGUCUGAGAGGAUGAUCAGUCAAAUUGGAAGUGAGACACGGUGCAAACACCUACGGGAGUGAGCAGUAGGGAAUAUUGCGCAAUGGGGGAAACCCUGACGCAGCAACGGCGCGUGGAGGAUGACACUUUGCGGAGCGUAAACUCCUUUUGUUAGGGAAGCGGUACCUAACGAAUAAGCACCGGCUAACUCCGUGCCAGCAGCCGCGGUAAUAC